rnacentral:rRNA from 1 species
UACGUAGGGGCCGAGCGUUGUCCGGAGUUAUUGGGCGUAAAGCGCGCGCAGGCGGCUUCGCGCGUCCGACGUGAAAGCCCCCGGCUUAACCGGGGAGGGUCGUUGGGUACGGCGGAGCUUGAGGGCGGGAGAGGGUGGUGGAAUUCCCGGUGUAGUGGUGAAAUGCGUAGAUAUCGGGAGGAACACCAGUGGCGAAGGCGGCUUCCUGGACCAUAACUGACGCUGAGGCGCGAAAGCUAGGGGAGCAAACGGG